rnacentral:rRNA from 1 species
UAAUACGUAGGGUCCGAGCGUUGUCCGGAAUUAUUGGGCGUAAAGAGCUCGUAGGCGGUUUGUCGCGUCUGCUGUGAAAUCCCGAGGCUCAACCUCGGGUCUGCAGUGGGUACGGGCAGACUGGAGUGCGGUAGGGGAGAAUGGAAUUCCUGGUGUAGCGGUGGAAUGCGCAGAUAUCAGGAGGAACACCGAUGGCGAAGGCAGUUCUC